rnacentral:rRNA from 1 species
UACGUAGGGUGCAAGCGUUAAUCGGAAUUACUGGGCGUAAAGCGUGCGCAGGCGGUUUUGUAAGACCGAUGUGAAAUCCCCGGGCUUAACCUGGGAGCUGCAUUGGUGACUGCAUUGCUGGAGUAUGGCAGAGGGGGGUGGAAUUCCACGUGUAGCAGUGAAAUGCGUAGAGAUGUGGAGGAACACCGAUGGCGAAGGCAGCCCCCUGGGCCAAUACUGACGCUCAUGCACGAAAGCGUGGGGAGCAAACAGG